CCCUUCCAGACUGAGGAGACAGACAAAGCAGAGAUGUCUGACCUGGCUGAGAGGCUCUGGAUUGAUGUCCCGUCCAUCCCCAGAUGUCUGUUCCUGCCCACAGCUCUCAAUGAUUGGCUGUGAACAGUAAAGAAAAAAUGUCGGAUUUGACUUACAGGCCUUGGUCUUCUGUGCACCUUACCGGUUGGCCACAUCACAGAAUCAGGGGUGUUCACCCUCACUGGAUUCAACUGUCAACACAACACUCCAUUUAAAAUGUGAUGACAAAGACAGAACACAAACUAAAUAAAUUGGUAUUUACCACAUAAGGGCGGCGCCUUAAAGCUCUUUUGAUUCUCUCAUCACUACGGUCCAUCUUGCUUUCUGAGGGAUACAUUUUCAUCAACUGAUUGGCACAAAACAUAUCCUAAACACACACACACACACACA
rnacentral:lncRNA from 1 species